GGGGAAUAUUGGACAAUGGGCGAAAGCCUGAUCCAGCCAUGCCGCGUGAGUGAUGAAGGCCCUAGGGUUGUAAAGCUCUUUCAACGGUGAAGAUAAUGACGGUAACCGUAGAAGAAGCCCCGGCUAACUUCGUGCCAGCAGCCGCGGUAAUACGAAGGGGGCUAGCGUUGUUCGGAAUUACUGGGCGUAAAGCGCACGUAGGCGGAUUGUUAAGUUAGGGGUGAAAUCCCAGGGCUCAACCCUGGAACUGCCUUUAAUACUGGCAAUCUCGAGUCCGAGAGAGGUGAGUGGAAUUCCGAGUGUAGAGGUGAAAUUCGUAGAUAUUCGGAGGAACACCAGUGGCGAAGGCGGCUCACUGGCUCGGUACUGACGCUGAGGUGCGAAAGCGUGGGGAGCAAACAG
rnacentral:rRNA from 1 species